GAAAAUUCGCUAAAUGGCACGCCUCAAUUUCUGAGGAUAAACAAGACUAAUUAAACGAGGGCCAUGCAUUUGUCAUUUUUGUUUGGUACAACGCACCUCAAUUCUAAUUUAAAGAAAAAGAAUUCAAGUUAUAUUUGGAGGGCCAUGAACUAUUUAUGUUAUCUAGUAUGGCUCACCCCCCACUAAUUAAAGAAGCUCAAUUACCCUACUAAGCUAGAAAUAUUUGGAUAACUUACCAUGGCAAUUUAUAAUAAAUAACAGCUUCAUUUCAAUCAAACGAUCAAAUAGCAAAUCGCUAAUGGCAGCGAACUUGGUAGCAAAUUAUGCUUCAACUUCUGUGUCAUAUAGACCAAAUUCCAAUACAUAACUAAAUCCCAAAGUCUCACGUUCUCAAGGGAAAAUGGAGAACUCAUUCCUGAGGUUAGUCUCAUGACUACUUGUAACCAUUUUUAGGAUCAUUUUUGGCUUUAACACUCUUUUGAUUAACAGUACAUGUCAAACAAUUGAUGCUUUUCUAAAUAGCUUAACUUCCUGGGAACAUGAUGAUCAAGGAAAACAAUUCCUAUCAAUGCUCAAAACAUUCAGAAAGCAAAAGCGGAAAUUAACGUCCCUUUCACAAAGAACCUUACUACAUGCAACUUGCUUAGUUUUGUCAUUUACACAUCAGCUGAUUCAAAUCCAAUUGUCAAAUGCACCUUUUAAGCAAAAAAAAAAAAAAAACCAACAUCAAGGAAUAAGUCUGAAUGGAUAUGAAUAAAAUAAUCUAUGCUAUCAUUGAGGCAUUGAAUAGAAGAAUCGAUAUUAUAACUCAUCCCUCUGUUUUAAAAGCCCUUACAAAAACAAAAUGGCUACAUGUGCAGCAUCUUCAUUUUAAUUUCUUCCUAUUAUUCUUUAGCAUCACUUUAACGAUUGCAAAUGGAAAUGAAUCUGGAGAUGUCGUACAACUUAUAUUAGCUCUAUAAAUGCUACUGAUUUGCCUAGUGGGAGAUACAAAUGCACUUGAAUAACCACUAGUCGGAUCACACAAUUUACAUUAGCUAGAAACAGAAACAACCGAAGAUGUAAGGAAUUAAUUUCUUGUUGUAUGACACACUAUUUCAGCAAAUCCAAACCCAGACAUCAUAAGUUCAAUAGUUGAAACAAUUGGCUUUUCAAACACCCAUGUGACAGUAAAUACCAAAGCGAAAAUCAGUAAACAAAUUUAACAGCUAAACAUGAUGGCUCCGUGAAUUCAAAACAAAUCUGUAACACGAAUAAAUCCAGAUUUUUAUCUAUGAAUUCAACAAAGGGGUCAUAGAUGAGUAUAGCGAACCUUAAACGAAAAAUCGACAAAAAGAAAUGACCAAAUAAGGUCUACACUUUAAAGCUGGAGCUCAACUACUAAACGCAGAAUCAACAGCGAAAUCAACAACAAUCAACAAAUGAACAGCAAUCCAGUUUCUAGAUUUUUUUUGAAGAACAGAACCUCGGACAGAAUCUCUUACCGGUGAUCAGAUCUGGCGGAACCAAACGGAGUUCAUGAAGGCUGCCGGAAUUCUAAGGGGUUCUGGUUUAAGAUGGAAGUGGUUCCAUUUAGGUUCUUGUGUAUGCGCUUUAGGUGAUGACGGGAUGAGGAGGAGGGUCGUUUCUUGUUGAAGAUAGAGAGGGGUCAGAGAGAGCAGUGAGAUUGAAGGAGAAUAAGAAGAAGGGUCCUCCUUUGAGAUCCGCCGUUUCUCUAUAUUUUCUGAAGGUAAGGGAUCCU
rnacentral:lncRNA from 1 species